rnacentral:rRNA from 1 species
AACGAACGCUGGCGGCAGGCUUAACACAUGCAAGUCGAACGAUGAACCCGGAGCUUGCUCGGGUGGAUUAGUGGCGAACGGGUGAGUAACACGUGAGUAACCUGCCCUUGACUCUGGGAUAACUGCGGGAAACUGUAGCUAAUACCGGAUACGACCCUCGGCGGAAUCGCCAGGGGGGGGAAAGAAUUGCGGUAAAGGAUGGACUCGCGGCCUAUCAGCUAGUUGGUGAGGUAACGGCUCACAAAGGCGACGACGGGUAGCCGGCCUGAGAGGGUGGCCGGCCACACUGGGACUGAGACACGGCCCAGACUCCUACGGGAGGCAGCAGUGGGGAAUAUUGCACAAUGGGCGCAAGCCUGAUGCAGCAACGCCGCGUGAGGGAUGACGGCCUUCGGGUUGUAAACCUCUUUUAGUAGGGAAGAAGCGAAAGUGACGGUACCUGCAGAAAAAGCACCGGCUAACUACGUGCCAGCCGCCGCGGUAA